UGAAGUUUCAUCAUGUAUAUAUUGUUUUGUAGAAGACAUCACUUCUAAAUGUGUGUAUUCCGUGUUUAUGUGAAUUCACCGUGAUGCUCAGAAACGCACAUGGAAGUGUCAUUUAAGAGGUGAAAGGGCCGAACUACAGAUUUGUCUCCACCGGUUAAUGUCAAAGAUCUGCAGAUAUUGGAGAACAUCUAUAUUUAGAGCACGUGCAGAGUAGCAAGUGAGAUGACAUUACCGGCCAUCCUUUCUCUCUGGUGGCUCUUAAUAGUGCAUCUAUCCAAACAGACAGUGCAAGGGG